UACGAAGGGGGGCUAGCGUUGUUCGGAAUUACUGGGCGUAAAGCGCACGUAGGCGGAUUGUUAAGUUAGGGGUGAAAUCCCAGGGCUCAACCCUGGAACUGCCUUUAAUACUGGCAAUCUCGAGUCCGAGAGAGGUGAGUGGAAUUCCGAGUGUAGAGGUGAAAUUCGUAGAUAUUCGGAGGAACACCAGUGGCGAAGGCGGCUCACUGGCUCGGUACUGACGCUGAGGUGCGAAAGCGUGGGAGCAAACAGG
rnacentral:rRNA from 1 species